GACGAACCGUCCUAACGUUGUUCGGAAUCACUGGGCGUAAAGGGUGCGUAGGCGGCGCGGUAAGUCGGGUGUGAAAUCUCGGAGCUUAACUCCGAAACUGCAUUCGAUACUGCCGUGCUUGAGGACUGGAGAGGAGACUGGAAUUUACGGUGUAGCGGUGAAAUGCGUAGAUAUCGUAAGGAAGACCAGUGGCGAAGGCGGGUCUCUGGACAGUUCCUGACGCUGAGGCACGAAGGCCAGGGGAGCAAACGGG
rnacentral:rRNA from 1 species